GACGAACGCUGGCGGCGUGCUUAACACAUGCAAGUCGAACGGAAAGGCCCUGCUUUUGUGGGGUGCUCGAGUGGCGAACGGGUGAGUAACACGUGAGUAACCUGCCCUUGACUUUGGGAUAACUUCAGGCAACUGGGGCUAAUACCGGAUAGGAGCUCCUGCCGCAUGGUGGGGGUUGGAAAGUUUCGGCGGUUGGGGAUGGACUCGCGGCCUAUCAGCUUGUUGGGGGGGUAGUGGCUUACCAGGGCUUUGACGGGUAGCCGGCCUGAGAGGGUGACCGGCCACAUUGGGACUGAGAUGCGGCCCAGACUCCUACGGGAGGCAGCGGUGGGGAAUAUUGCACAAUGGGCGGAAGCCUGAUGCAGCAACGCCGCGUGCGGUAUGACGUCCUUCGGGUUGUAAACCGCUUUCGUCUGUGACGAAGCGUUAGUGACGGUAAUGGGUAAAGAAGCACCGGCUAACUACGUG
rnacentral:rRNA from 1 species